rnacentral:rRNA from 1 species
UACGUAGGGGGCGAGCGUUGUCCGGAUUUAUUGGGCGUAAAGAGCGUGUAGGCGGCUGGGUAGGUCCGUUGUGAAAACUCGAGGCUCAACCUCGAGACGCCGGUGGAAACCGUAAAGCUAGAGUCCGGAAGAGGAGAGUGGAAUUCCUGGUGUAGCGGUGAAAUGCGCAGAUAUCAGGAGGAACACCCGUGGCGAAAGCGGCUCUCUGGGACGGUACUGACGCUGAGACGCGAAAGCGUGGGGAGCAAACAGG